CCAAGUCUCAUGUCCAGAGGGUUUUCUCUCUCUGCUUAUGAGAGCUGUCUUCCCCUUAGUGAGGAUUCAAUCCUUGAAGAUUUUUAAAGCCAAAUCUAUAUAUAAUCACCAUCAAACUACUAUUUCUAAUCUUGCAAACCUACAAAAAUCUACCUUGAAUCCUCCUUUGCCCAUCAAUUUUAGAUUUUUUUAGGAGCUAUCUUAAACCCUAAACCGCUUCCGAUCAUCAAAAACCUUCUAAUUUCGCAGCAACUGGGCUACGGAGAGUGCUAUUUCAACCCCUCUUGAAUGGUAAAUCCGACAAUUUUAGAGAUGGCGGAACAAAUUAUUGACAGAUUUCAUCAGUUUGCUCUUACAGAGGAAGAAAAGGAGACUAUGUCAAUUAAAAUUUCAGAUGUUCUGUCAAGCAUAAAAGAUUGUGAUGUAAGUCUUCUUGGUAAUGUUAUCUCGUAUAAGAGAGUGAAUCUCCAGGGGGUCAAGAACGCUAUGCCUGUGGCUUGGGGAAACCAAACAGGGCUGCAAAUAAAGGAAAUAGGAUGGAACUUUUUCCAGUUCAAGUUCAAAGAUAAAGAAACUAUGGAUAAAGUACUAUUUGGCACACCAUGGCUGUAUGAUAAUUUCCUCCUUAAUGUACAUCCAUGGGAGUCAGGAUUGAAGAGUACUUCCUCAACUUUUAAUGUAUGUGAUUUAUGGGUUCAAGUUUGGAAUAUCCCUCUGCACUGGAUGUCAACGGAUGUUGGGCACAAAAUCGAAAAUACUUUGGGAGGUAUUGUGGAUAUUGUAAUCCCUGCAAAUGGAAGUAAAGAAGGACAAUAUAUAAGGUUGAAAGUCAGGAUAAAUAUUACUAAGCCACUGCCUAAAGUUAAGUUGAUCAAAUUAGAAUCGGAAACUACAUGGGUUGAAAUAAGAUACGAGAACCUGCCUUACGUGUGCUAUUAUUGUGGUCUACUUGGGCAUAAUGAUAAAACAUGUACCCAAAGAGCCAAGGAUGUAUAGGGAGGCACGGUUAAAAUUAAUCAGUUUGGGAUUUGGUUAAAAGCAGAGAACCGUGUUCUUCUCUCGGGAAGACGUAGGUGCCAAGGGACAAACAAUAUUAAUGGAAAUCCAAUGGUUACGGGGAGAAGAGUUAAAGGAAUUACAAACAGUUGGAAAAGGAUGCUGAAGUAACUCAAUACGGAAGGAAAUUGUGGGCUUAAGCAGGGAAGAUGACGAUGGACCAAACAUGGAUGACUUAAACCAGAUGCAACCUAUGGAGGUAAAAAAUUAUGGAUCGCGCAAGAAAGAAUUUGUUGUUGUUAAAGAUAAUGAAGGAGAAGAAACUUAUGUUGGGAUUACAAUGGUCUCAACACAGGAUUUGAAUAUGGCUGUGAAGAAGAAUGACAUGGGUUCACAAACUCCAGUUAAUGAGAAUAUGGUUGACCGCACCACAUGGGGAAAAGAUGAUGCUAUGCAAAUUAAUUCGAAGGACAUGUAGGACAACAUACAUCAAGUUUUUACAGAUGCUGAAAAGAUGGACAUCCACACCAAAACAACUAGUCAACAAGAAGAAAAUGAGGUAUAUUUGGAAAUUUGCAAGACACUUGUUUAACUCGCCCACUUGUACGGAUUGCUCGAUCACUUGACAUUCUUUUGGACUUUGUCCUUCUUAUGGUCGUGACUUUGUCACUAUUGGCAUGCCUCUUGUUUCGGACCCUUUGCCAUCUUGAUUAUGGAUUUUUAGUUCGUCUUAAGUAUGGAAGUUGUCCAUUUUAAGUACAAAUUAGGAAGCCAUUUUUAAUAUGGUUCUUGGUUCUCGGUUCUCUUGAUUAUUGGGUCUUUACCCUUCUUGAUACAGGGCUCUGGUCCUUCUUGAUACUUGAUCAUGUUUGGUGUGACGGCAUGACGUUCAUAUUGGGCGAAACUUGGUGCUAAAUCUUGUAAAUGUGCUUUUAUGAAUUAUUGACACUUAAACUUUUACAUAUAGAACUUGAUACUCGUGAUGUA